rnacentral:rRNA from 1 species
ACGCUAGCUACAGGCUUAACACAUGCAAGUCGAGGGGCAUCAGGAAGAAAGCUUGCUUUCUUUGCCGGCGACCGGCGCACGGGUGAGUAACACGUAUCCAACCUGCCCUUUACUCGGGGAUAGCCUUUCGAAAGAAAGAUUAAUACCCGAUAGUAUAAUGAUUCCGCAUGGUUUCAUUAUUAAAGGGUUCCGGUAAAGGAUGGGGAUGCGUUCCAUCAGGUUGUUGGUGAGGUAACGGCCCACCAAGCCUUCGAUGGAUAGGGGUUCUGAGAGGAAGGUCCCCCACAUUGGAACUGAGACACGGUCCAAACUCCUACGGGAGGCAGCAGUGAGGAAUAUUGGUCAAUGGGCGCUAGCCUGAACCAGCCAAGUAGCGUGAAGGAUGAAGGCUCUAUGGGUCGUAAACUUCUUUUAUAUAAGAAUAAAGUGCAGUAUGUAUACUGUUUUGUAUGUAUUAUAUGAAUAAGGAUCGGCUAACUCCGUGCCAGCAGCCGCGGUAAUACGGAGGAUCCGAGCGUUAUCCGGAUUUAUUGGGUUUAAAGGGAGCGUAGGUGGACUGGUAAGUCAGUUGUGAAAGUUUGCGGCUCAACCGUAAAAUUGCAGUUGAUACUGUCAGUCUUGAGUACAGUAGAGGUGGGCGGAAUUCGUGGUGUAGCGGUGAAAUGCUUAGAUAUCACGAAGAACUCCGAUUGCGAAGGCAGCUCACUGGACUGCAACUGACACUGAUGCUCGAAAGUGUGGGUAUCAAACAGGAUUAGAUACCCUGGUAGUCCACACAGUAAACGAUGAAUACUCGCUGUUUGCGAUAUACAGUAAGCGGCCAAGCGAAAGCAUUAAGUAUUCCACCUGGGGAGUACGCCGGCAACGGUGAAACUCAAAGGAAUUGACGGGGGCCCGCACAAGCGGAGGAACAUGCGGUUUAAUUCGAUGAUACGCGAGGAACCUUACCCGGGCUUAAAUUGCAGUGGAAUGAUGUGGAAACAUGUCAGUGAGCAAUCACCGCUGUGAAGGUGCUGCAUGGUUGUCGUCAGCUCGUGCCGUGAGGUGUCGGCUUAAGUGCCAUAACGAGCGCAACCCUUAUCUUCAGUUACUAACAGGUCAUGCUGAGGACUCUGGAGAGACUGCCGUCGUAAGAUGUGAGGAAGGUGGGGAUGACGUCAAAUCAGCACGGCCCUUACGUCCGGGGCUACACACGUGUUACAAUGGGGGGUACAGAAGGCAGCUAGCGGGUGACCGUAUGCUAAUCCCAAAAGCCUCUCUCAGUUCGGAUCGAAGUCUGCAACCCGACUUCGUGAAGCUGGAUUCGCUAGUAAUCGCGCAUCAGCCACGGCGCGGUGAAUACGUUCCCGGGCCUUGUACACACCGCCCGUCAAGCCAUGGGAGCCGGGGGUACCUGAAGUACGUAACCGCAAGGAUCGUCCUAGGGUAAAACUGGUGACUGGGGCU